AAGAGCCUGAGAUUGGUGCUCUUGG
rnacentral:piRNA from 1 species